GACAGAGGGUGCAAACGUUGUUCGGAAUUACUGGGCGUAAAGCGCGUGUAGGCGGCUCGGAAAGUCGGGUGUGAAAGCCCUGGGCUUAACCCAGGAAGUGCACUCGAAACUUCCGAGCUGGAGUCCUGGAGAGGAAGGCGGAAUUCUCGGUGUAGAGGUGAAAUUCGUAGAUAUCGAGAGGAACACCGAUGGCGAAGGCGGCUCACUGGCCCGGUACUGACGCUGAGGUGCGAAAGCGUGGGGAGCAAACAGG
rnacentral:rRNA from 1 species